rnacentral:rRNA from 1 species
CCAGACUCCUACGGGAGGCAGCAGUGGGGAAUAUUGCACAAUGGGGGAAACCCUGAUGCAGCGACGCCGCGUGAAGGAUGAAGUAUUUCGGUAUGUAAACUUCUAUCAGCAGGGAAGAAAAUGACGGUACCUGACUAAGAAGCCCCGGCUAACUACGUGCCAGCAGCCGCGGUAAUACGUAGGGGGCAAGCGUUAUCCGGAUUUACUGGGUGUAAAGGGAGCGUAGACGGCAUGGCAAGUCUGAUGUGAAAACCCGGGGCUCAACCCCGGGACUGCAUUGGAAACUGUCAGGCUGGAGUGUCGGAGAGGCAAGUGGAAUUCCUAGUGUAGCGGUGAAAUGCGCAGAUAUUAGGAGGAACACCAGUGGCGAAGGCGGCUUGCUGGACGAUGACUGACGUUGAGGCUCGAAAGCGUGGGGAGCAAACAGGAUUAGAUACCCUUGUAA